rnacentral:lncRNA from 1 species
GCUCUGGGCUCGUGGCCUCCGGAGCCGUGACGGGACAAGCGUCUGUUGUCUGAAGACAUCAAGUUGUGGUCGCUUGUUACGGGGACCCCGGGACCUGGGUACACGCCGUCCGGCCACCUGCGGGCGUCCCGGGGGACCGCCUCGCGGCGCUUGGCGUCCAGCCGGGACCCCCGUCCCAGCUUCAGAGAGCCAUCCCGCCACCAUCGUUAAUCUGUAAGCGUCUGGGGAGGCGCAGCCCCAAGAACCAGCCGAGCCGUUUGCCACGAAAACACGCAACUCGUGCUGGAGACGAGCUCUGGACGUGGUCUCUCCUUCCCCAGCGUUUGCAUCAAUCGACAGCACAGCGUCAACGGACACCUUGUGUUUCCUGCUCGUUGUUUGCUGAAUGGGCUCGUUUCUCUUGGCAUUUGGCUCCACCUCCCUGUUUGAAGGAACUACAAAGGCGUGUGUCCACCAACGGAGCUGACGUUCUGGUAGAACUCGGCAGAAAAAAAACAUUAGAGCAGAGAGCCAGGUCCUCUGGCUUCUGCGUUCCUGCACCUGACUUUCUUUCUCUGACAAAUCCUUUCCACACAAAACCCCAUCUUUUGGUCAUUCGUGACUCGGAAAUCUGGUCUUACUUGUGGAAGAAUGGGAGUGUCUUUCCAAGGAGAGCAGAGACCCACUGUGGGAGAGACGGUCAGUCUCUCUCGGCCGGGAGAGACGGGGAGCCUGACGAGACCGCAUUUAGCUAUUUAUCCGUUUUUCUCACACACUUAGCCCCUGGGGAAGCAUUUCAGAGCCUCCAGGAGAUCAGGACCAAGUGUCUCAGACUCCCUUACCCUUUCCUGGUGACCUCAAGAUGGCUGCUGCAGCUCCACCAUCACACAUACUUUCUAGGCAAUGCAAAUGAGGAAGAGGAAGGAGGAGAAAGCAAUGGUGUAUAUCAGAAGGACAAAGGCUUUCCCAAACGUCCUCAGGAGACUUCUGGUUUUGUCUCAGGGGUACGCGUUUCACGUGGCCACCUCCCGGUGCAAGAGAGUCUGACAAGCUUGUUGGCUCAAUAGUAGAGAACAGAAAACGGGGCUGGACAGAUGCUGGUUAAGCCAGUCCACGGUGUGGUCACCCCGUGGUUCCGAGCAGGGCGUGGGAGGCGACCCUCACGGCUGCCCCAUUGUCCCACCUGCUGUCUCUCUGGAAGGCCGUGGAGGUUUCUGGAUUGUGGAGAGAGGGCCCCGGGUGGACAUGCUGUCACAUCUCAGGAACAGAGGGGAUGGGGGAAGCCCUGUGGACUUCCCUACGUGAGACACCCCGGUUGGCAGAGGUCUCCUGUCCUGGCCCCCUUCCUGGCUGGCCCAGGCUCCCCGCCCUUGGCCGGGCGGCCGAAUCUGCUAUUAACGCCCAGGAGUCGUCCAAACGGGGACACGGCUGCCCGUACGAAGUGGUCGGGGCGACCAUCAGGCAUAGCUAGUAUUUCACGUGCCCCCGGCUCUCCCAG